rnacentral:rRNA from 1 species
ACGGAAGGCAGCAGCUAAGAAUAUUCCGCAAUGGACGGAAGUCUGACGGAGCGACGCCGCGUGGAUGAUGAAGGUCGGAAGAUUGUAAAAUCCUUUUAUAACUGAGGAAUAAGUACUGUUCGUGAGGGCAGUAUGGUGACUGUAGGUUAUGAAUAAGCAACGGCUAAUUACGUGCCAGCAGCCGCGGUAACACGUAAGUUGCUAGCGUUGUUCGGAAUUAUUGGGCGUAAAGGGCAUGUAGGCGGUUUUGCAAGCUUGGUGUGAAAUCUCGGAGCUCAACGCCGAAAUUGCGGUGAGAACUGCAUAACUAGAGUCACUGAGGGGCAAUCAGAAUUCCAGGUGUAGGGGUGAAAUCUGUAGAUAUCUGGAAGAAUACCAAUGGCGAAGGCAGGUUACCAGCAGAUGACUGACGCAGAGGUGCGAAGGUGCGGGGAGCAAACAGGAUUAGAUACCCUGGUA